GCAGCUCCAUUACCCCAAUCACACAAUCACAUUAACAUCAUCCUAAAUUAAAAAUAAACAAAAGCAAGGUGAUUGUGACGCCGAUAUAAUUGGUAAACUGUGUUCACUCAAGUCAGUCAACGGAUGAGAGUCAAUUUUUUGAAGUUGCCAUUUUGAAACGAACUGUAACCAGAUUUAAUAUCCAAACUAUUAAAAGUAUAUUCAACUUAAAA